GUGUCUAUUGAAAGGAGAGAAGGUUAGCACUCCCCUUGACAAGGAUGGAACACAUCAAAACGGUGAAGGCACGCUUUAAAGACGUUAUGCAAUAAAUAUAU
rnacentral:ncRNA from 1 species